UACGAAGGGGGGCUAGCGUUGCUCGGAAUUACUGGGCGUAAAGGGCGCGUAGGCGGCACUGUUAGUCAGGCGUGAAAGUCCUGGGCUCAACCUGGGAACUGCGCUUGAUACGGCAGAGCUAGAGGAUGGAAGAGGGUCGCGGAAUUCCCAGUGUAGAGGUGAAAAUUCGUAGAUAUUGGGGAAGAAACACCGGUGGCGAAGGCGGCGACCUGGUCCAUUACUGACGCUG
rnacentral:rRNA from 1 species